rnacentral:rRNA from 1 species
AUGGAUGUGGGAGCAUCAACUCCAUUCCUUUUGGCCACUGAGGAGUGGGAUAAAUUGUUAGAAUUCUAUGAAAGAUUACCAGGAGCUAGGAUGCAUGGAAAUUUUAUACGACAUGGUGGAGUGCCUCAAGAUCUGCCUCUUGGCUUCUGGAGAGAUAUUGAUUCCUCCACACAACAAUGUGCUUCCCUUGUCAACUUACCAAAAGAGAUCCUUUCCAAAGGUCGUACACUAUUGUUAAAUGUACAAACAAAGUAA